rnacentral:rRNA from 1 species
AACGCGAAGAACCUUACCAGGCCUUGACAUGCAGGAGACCGGUGCUGAAAGGCACCUUUCCUUCGGGACUGCUGCACAGGUGCUGCAUGGCUGUCGUCAGCUCGUGUCGUGAGAUGUUGCGUUAAGUCGCGCAACGAGCGCAACCCCUGUCCUUAGUUGCCAUCAGGUAAAGCUGGGCACUCUAGGGAGACAAACCCUCUUUGAGGGUGGGAAGGUGGGGAUGACGUCAAGUCAGGAUGGCCCUUACGGCCUGGGCUGCACACGUACUACAAUGCCCGGUACAGAGGGAAGCAAGACCGCGAGGUGGAGCAAAUCCUCAAAACCGGGCCCAGUUCAGAUUGUAGUCUGCAACUCGACUACAUGAAGUUGGAAUCGCUAGUAAUGGCGCAUCAGCUACGGCGCCGUGAAUACGUUCCCGGGCCUUGUACACACCGUAGUAC